GGAAUAUUGCGCAAUGGGCGAAAGCCUGACGCAGCGACGCCGCGUGGGUGAUGACGGCCUUCGGGUCGUAAAGCCCUGUCGGGAGGGAAGAAAUCUCGCCGGUCUAACAUGCCGGCGACUUGACGGUACCUCCUAAGGAAGCACCGGCUCACUCCGGCCCAGCAGCCGCGGUAAUACGGAGGGUGCAAGCGUGGGUCGGAAUCACGGGGCGUAAAGCGCGUGUAGGCGGCCAUUUAAGUCUGGUGUGAAAGCCCUGGGCUCAACCCAGGAAGUGCACUGGAUACUGGAUGGCUGGAGUACCGGAGAGGAGGGUGGAAUUCCUGGUGUAGCGGUGAAAUGCGUAGAUAUCAGGAGGAACACCGGUGGCGAAGGCGUCCCUCUGGCCGGAUACUGACGCUGAGACGCGAAAGCGUGGGGAGCAAA
rnacentral:rRNA from 1 species